UACGUAGGGAGCAAGCGUUGUCCGGAAUCAUUGGGCGUAAAGCGCGCGUAGGCGGCCUCAUAAGUCCGUUGUGAAAGUCAAAGGCUCAACCUUUGAAAGCCGAUGGAUACUGUGAGGCUAGAGUCCGGAAGAGGCGAGCGGAAUUCCUGGUGUAGCGGUGGAAUGCGCAGAUAUCAGGAGGAACACCAAUAGCGAAGGCAGCUCGCUGGGACGGUACUGACGCUAAGGCGCGAAAGCGUGGGGAGCGAACAGG
rnacentral:rRNA from 1 species